GCAGUGUAGAAGUGCCCUCUAACAAUUAUCUACCCCUAUCAGUCUUUUAAUAAGGACCCUUUUCUUCCUAUAAAUAGAGACUACUGGGAGACUAUUAUUAGUCAUCUCUUAACUUCUCCCUCUUUCUUUCUGUGUGUGUCUCUCUCUUUCCAAACUCAUGUUCUCUUUCAUUUCAAAGAAAAUUUUAACUUUCAAUUACAUGAUACUCUAAUCAAAGUCUGAAGCUGUAGGUAGAAUAAAGCUAUAGAAUAUCAGGGAGAGAGGAGAGCACUGGUGGUGAUAUUGUUGACAGAAGAUAGAGAGCACAGAUGAUGAUGUGCAAUUAAUGGACUGCGCUUCUCACUCCUUUGUGCUCUCUAUGCUUCUGUCAUCGCCUACAACCCCUCUCACCCUUUCUUUUUCUUCUUCUUUAAUUUCUUGCUUACCUUUUUUUUUAUUAUGACAAAAAAAAAAGUGUUCAUUUAUGUUUCUCAUUAUCCACAUGAUUUUUUUCUUUGCUUUAUAUUCUUGUCCCUGUUUUAAUUAGUUCAGAUCAUAAGGAUGAUUCUUGAUGAUGGUAAAAUGAAAGGCAGGCUAAGCGAAGACAGCAGUUGUUUGGUAAAUCGGUAGGCCAUCAAUGGGUUGGCUAAGUUGAAAUCCAAAUAGCUUUCUUGCUUUUCACAAGAAGAAAUGAAUCUGACAAGAUUCUAAUGCUAUGCAUAUGCUUAUUAGAUAUAUUAGAAUCAAAGUGAUUCCUAAAAGCAGGAGGCACCGCAAUUGCUUUGUGGGAGAAGGGCUGUCUCUAAAUUAUUGGAGUUAUUCAUUAAGCGAAUGUGUAAUAAAGCUAGACAAAAAAAUAAUGAUAAUAACACUCCAAAUUCCCUAUAUAAUUCUAGAACUUAAUUUCUAGCUAGAUUGAACACUUCUUCGAAUAGGCUUAACAAGAAAAUUAUUUUAUUUGGGUGGGUGUAUAUACGCCUAAUUAAUAAAAAUUUAAUAAAUAAUAAUUUUUAUCGGCUAAUCAUGUUUUUGACGGGACCCACCAUACAUCCAAGAGUAGAUAAGACUUACUUGGCUUAAUAUUGAGAUAAGAAUAUGCCCAUAAUAGUUUGAUCAAAAGAAUCCUCAUGGGUAGAAAUGUUCCUUCAAAUUACUUUUCUUAGUUGCCUCAAACUCUUUUUUCCAAUGUUAAUUAAGAUUUUAAGAGUGAGUUUUCACAUCUGUUUAAUUACCUUGACUUGUAAAGCUUGAUAUUAUAUUUAAAUAUAUGUAAAAUUCUUGUCUAAACUCAGUCCAUCAUGAAUUCAAGACACAAUAUAUAGAAGAGUUCUAGAUCAGUCUUUGCUUGAUACAUCAACAUCUCUUUACGUGUGUUUCUAUAGCACUUGCAUUUAUUUCUUGAAUGAAAAAAAAAAUUUUCCUGAUUCAAGAGAAAUGAGGAAAGCUACUGCCGGCCAGCUGGGACAUGGCAACAGGAUAGGAAAUUCUUGAAGCAAAACUAAUUCUUAGGGCUGAUGAGAAAAUUUGCUGAAAUAGGUUAUUGGAGAUGCUGAUAAAAUCUCAGUUUGUUCAGAAAAUAAUUUGCAUAAUGAGGCAGCAGAAAUUUUAACUACUACUCUGUCAUUAGCAACAAAUUGAUGUUCUUAUUGUCAAAAGAUCAAGUUCAUUUACAAAACGGGAAUCGAUAUAUACAUUUCAUGUACUUUGGAUGUAGUGAUUUGAAACAAGAGACCUGUAUAUUUGUUUUAGUUUAAGUUGUUUGAAAUGAAAGCUGAUUCAUAGUUUAAUGUUAA